rnacentral:rRNA from 1 species
CAGUCGCCACGGGAAUACAGAGGGUGCGAGCGUUAAUCGGAUUUACUGGGCGUAAAGCGUGCGUAGGCGGCUUUUUAAGUCGGAUGUCAAAUCCCUGAGCUUAACUUAGGAAUUGCAUUCGAUACUGGGAAGCUAGAGUAUGGGAGAGGAUGGUAGAAUUCCAGGUGUAGCGGUGAAAUGCGUAGAGAUCUGGAGGAAUACCGAUGGCGAAGGCAGCCAUCUGGCCUAAUACUGACGCUGAGGUACGAAAGCAUGGGGAGCAAACAGGAUUAGAUACCCCGGUAGUCCCUGUCUCUUAUAC